AUGGCUCAGUAUUGAACGCUGGCGGCAUGCCUUACACAUGCAAGUCGAACGGUAACAGGUCUUCGGAUGCUGACGAGUGGCGAACGGGUGAGUAAUACAUCGGAACGUGCCCGAUCGUGGGGGAUAACGCAGCGAAAGCUGUGCUAAUACCGCAUACGAUCUACGGAUGAAAGCGGGGGGAUCGCAAGACCUCGCGCGGACGGAGCGGCCGAUGGCAGAUUAGGUAGUUGGUGGGAUAAAAGCUUACCAAGCCGACGGUCUGUAGCUGGUCUGAGAGGACGACCAGCCACACUGGGACUGAGACACGGCCCAGACUCCUACGGGAGGCAGCAGUGGGGAAUUUUGGACAAUGGGCGCAAGCCUGAUCCAGCCAUGCCGCGUGCAGGAUGAAGGCCUUCGGGUUGUAAACUGCUUUUGUACGGAACGAAAAAGCUCUCUCUAAUACAGGGGGUGAAUGACGGUACCGUAAGAAUAAGCACCGGCUAACUACGUG
rnacentral:rRNA from 1 species